AUUAGAUACCCUGGUAGUCCACGCCGUAAACGAUGUCGACCAGCCGUUGGGUGCCUAGCGCACUUUGUGGCGAAGUUAACGCGAUAAGUCGACCGCCUGGGGAGUACGGCCGCAAGGUUAAAACUCAAAUGAAUUGACGGGGGCCCGCACAAGCGGUGGAGCAUGUGGUUUAAUUCGAUGCAACGCGAAGAACCUUACCUACUCUUGACAUCCUGCGAACUUGUGAGAGAUCACUUGGUGCCUUCGGGAGCGCAGAGACAGGUGCUGCAUGGCUGUCGUCAGCUCGUGUUGUGAAAUGUUGGGUUAAGUCCCGUAACGAGCGCAACCCUUGUCCUUAUUUGCCAGCGGGUAAUGCCGGGAACUCUAAGGAGACUGCCGGUGACAAACCGGAGGAAGGUGGGGACGACGUCAAGUCAUCAUGGCCCUUACGAGUAGGGCUACACACGUGCUACAAUGGCCGGUACAAAGGGUUGCGAGCUCGCGAGAGUCAGCUAAUCCCGAAAAGCCGGUCUCAGUCCGGAUCGGAGUCUGCAACUCGACUCCGUGAAGUCGGAAUCGCUAGUAAUCGUGAAUCAGAAUGUCACGGUGAAUACGUUCCCGGGCCUUGUACACACCGCCCGU
rnacentral:rRNA from 1 species